CCUACGGGUGGCUGCAGUGAGGAAUAUUGGUCAAUGGACGCAAGUCUGAACCAGCCAUGCCGCGUGCAGGAAGACGGCCCUAUGAGUUGUAAACUGCUUUUGUACGAGGGUAAACGCAGAUACGCGUAUCUGUCUGAAAGUAUCGUACGAAUAAGGAUCGGCUAACUCCGUGCCAGCAGCCGCGGUAAUACGGAGGGUUCAAGCGUUAUCCGGAUUUAUUGGGUUUAAAGGGUGCGUAGGCGGUCGGAGAAGUUAGAGGUGAAAUCCCGAGGCUCAACUUCGGAAUUGCCUCGGAUACUGGUCGGCUAGAGAGUAGUUGCGGUAGGCGGAAUGUGUGGUGUAGCGGUGAAAUGCUUAGAGAUCAUGCAGAACACCGAUUGCGAAGGCAGCUUACCAAGCUACUUCUGACGUUGAGGCACGAAAGCGUGGGGAGCGAACAGGAUUAGAUACCCCAGUAGUC
rnacentral:rRNA from 1 species